rnacentral:rRNA from 1 species
GACAGAGGGUGCAAACGUUGCUCGGAAUUACUGGGCGUAAAGCGCGCGUAGGCGGCUUUGUAAGUUAGAGGUGAAAGCCCGGAGCUCAACUCCGGAACUGCCUUUAAGACUGCAUCGCUUGAAUCCGGGAGAGGUGAGUGGAAUUCCGAGUGUAGAGGUGAAAUUCGUAGAUAUUCGGAAGAACACCAGUGGCGAAGGCGGCUCACUGGACCGGCAUUGACGCUGAGGUGACGAAAGCGUGGGGAGCAAACAGG